rnacentral:rRNA from 1 species
GACAGAGGGUGCAAACGUUGUUCGGAAUUACUGGGCGUAAAGCGCGUGUAGGCGGCCAUGCAAGUCGGGUGUGAAAGCCCUCGGCUCAACUGAGGAAGUGCACCCGAAACUACGUGGCUGGAGUCCUGGAGAGGAAGGUGGAAUGCUCGGUGUAGAGGUGAAAUUCGUAGAUAUCGAGCGGAACACCGGUGGCGAAGGCGGCCUUCUGGACAGUGACUGACGCUGAGACGCGAAAGCGUGGGGAG